UACGGAGGAUGCAAGCGUUAUCCGGAAUGAUUGGGCGUAAAGCGUCCGCAGGUGGCUGUGUAAGUCUGCUGUCAAAGAGCGAAGCUCAACUUCGUAAAGGCAGUGGAAACUACACGGCUAGAGUGCGUUCGGGGCAGAGGGAAUUCCUGGUGUAGCGGUGGAAUGCGUAGAGAUCGGGAAGAACAUCGGUGGCGAAGGCGGUCUGCUGGGCCGUUGCUGACGCUGAGGCGCGACAGCGUGGGGAGCAAACAGG
rnacentral:rRNA from 1 species